rnacentral:lncRNA from 1 species
ACGGGCUAAAGUUUAUUUUUGAUAAAUUUGAUGUAGGCUACAUAGAUCCUUUUUCUCUAGUCAAUUCUAUUCAUUGUCGAAUAUUAAGAUGAGCUGUUUUUUUACUUAUGGACCCAACAAUGAAGUGCUUCGAAUUCUAGUCCCACGUGAAGGACACCGGGUAGAGAUCCGACCACGGAAAGUUGAUGAGAUGGGGCUGCCGGCAAUGAAUUGGGCAAAGUGAGGAAUACUAGAACAAGAGGAAUUGUUCAUAGAAUUGUGGCAGCAUCUAGUUCAUCUAUCUUUUUUUCUUUUUUUUUUUUUUUUGGUCAUUAUCCAACAGAUUGCUGCCAAGUGUCUUCUGGUGGAAUUUUGGCGGGUAAAUUCUGAAAAUUCUUUACUUGCAACAAAUCUGAUACCAGAAUUGGUUUGAGCAUGGUUUUGUGGAUGGGUGUUUUUGUGUAUUCUGAGUCAUAGGAUCUAGGAAAUUAAGGAUUUGUAUAGAUGGAUUUUAUAUAGGUUUUUCUGUGAAACAUCGGACAGUUUUUAUUUUCAUUUUGAACUCCAUAAGAGUUGUCGGAAAUUGAACACUUUUUCUCAGAGGGUUUGUUGAUGGUCACAUGCCGACCACCGAGUUUGGUGGCUUAAGUGGCGACAUGAUGGAGUUAUUGGUGGUGGUUGAAGGUGGUGGCAUGGGUAUGGUUGAAGAUGGGGAAGAAGAUGAAGCGGAG